UACGUAGGUGGCAAGCGUUGUCCGGAUUUACUGGGCGUAAAGAGCGCGCAGGCGGUCGUUCAAGUCGCGUGUGAAAGCCCCCGGCUCAACUGGGGAGGGUCACGCGAUACUGAUCGACUCGAAGGCAGGAGAGGGUAGUGGAAUUCCCGGUGUAGUGGUGAAAUGCGUAGAUAUCUGGAGGAAUACCGGUGGCGAAGGCGGCAUCCUGGACCAACACUGACGCUGAGGCGCGAAAGCUAGGGGAGCAAACGGG
rnacentral:rRNA from 1 species